GCCUAACACAUGCAAGUCGAGCGGGCUUCUUCGGAAGUCAGUGGCAGACGGGUGACUAACACGUGGGAACGUGCCCUUCGGUUCGGAAUAACUCAGGGAAACUUGAGCUAAUACCGGAUACGCCCUUUUGGGGAAAGGUUUACCGCCGAAGGAUCGGCCCGCGUCUGAUUAGCUUGUUGGUGGGGUAACGGCCUACCAAGGCGACGAUCAGUAGCUGGUCUGAGGGGAUGAUCAGCCACACUGGGACUGAGACACGGCCCACACUCCUACGGGAGGCAGCAGUGGGGAAUAUUGGACAAUGGGCGCAAGCCUGAUCCAGCCAUGCCGCGUGAGUGAUGAAGGCCUUAGGGUUGUAAAGCUCUUUUGUCCGGGACGAUAAUGACGGUACCGGAAGAAUAAGCCCCGGCUAACUUCGUGCCAGCAGCCGCGGUAAU
rnacentral:rRNA from 1 species